GCAGAAGUAACAUUCCUUUGAACACUCAGCUUUCUGAAAUGGUGUCCCACCGCAAGGACUGGAGAAGGGUAAACCUCAGGUUCUCCUCCUGCCUUUUGCUAAGUAUAUGUCUUGAUGACAAGCCUUCUGCUGAUGAGCUGUGUUUCUGGACCGAUCAUGGUAGAAGUCAAUUAACGUGUCCCUCACUUGGGGUUUCUCAAGGGAGUCUCACUCUGUCGUCCAGGCUGGAGUGCAGUGGCACAAUCUCGGCUCACUGCAAGCUCUGCCUCCCAGGUUCACGCCAUUCUCCUGCCUCAGUCUCCCAACUGCACUGAUGAGGAAACUGAAACAGAAAAUCCAGAGUAAAUUCCACCAGGCCACACAGCAAGGUCUGAUAGAGCCAGGAGAGACUUUAUGAAAUCCAGACUCUCACACUAAUGCUCUAUCAGCUAGACCUCCAUGUGAGUCUCCCCAAUGUAGGUAGGAAGUGCUUUCCCUAAAAUGCUCAUAAAGCAAAUCAGAGCAAUGCUGCAUUCCAUGUGAUUUCUAAUUUGAAAUGCAAACAAUUGCCAAUUUGUUUGACUUGUAUUUAUAAUUAUUUCCUUGUGAAUUACUCAUCACUAAAUGCUUUAUAAAUAUUUUCUCUUUUUUUCCUCAAUGUCUAUGGAAUGAUCACAGCAUAGAAAAUGUUGGCUUUCAAGGAUUUAUUAAUAUCUCCUUUUGAAAUAACAUGUAUUUGUAAGACAGAAUAAAAUCACUUUAAAGAAACAAA
rnacentral:lncRNA from 1 species